CCUACGGGGGGCUGCAGUGGGGAAUAUUGGACAAUGGGGGCAACCCUGAUCCAGCCGUGCCGCGUGUGUGAAGAAGGCCCUCGGGUUGUAAAGCACUUUCAGUGAGGAAGAACGCCUGGUGGUUAAUACCCAUCAGGAAAGACAUCACUCACAGAAGAAGCACCGGCUAACUCCGUGCCAGCAGCCGCGGUAAUACGGAGGGUGCGAGCGUUAAUCGGAAUUACUGGGCGUAAAGCGCGCGUAGGUGGCUUGAUAAGCCGGUUGUGAAAGCCCCGGGCUCAACCUGGGAACGGCAUCCGGAACUGUCAAGCUAGAGUGCAGGAGAGGAAGGUAGAAUUCCCGGUGUAGCGGUGAAAUGCGUAGAGAUCGGGAGGAAUACCAGUGGCGAAGGCGGCCUUCUGGACUGACACUGACACUGAGGUGCGAAAGCGUGGGUAGCAAACAGGAUUAGAUACCCGGGUAGUC
rnacentral:rRNA from 1 species